AGGUACUGUCGGAAAAAAGAGGAAAAAGUCAACAGCGGGAAUUUCGAAGGAGAGGGAAACUUCAACUGUGGACCAGCCGGAUGUGCACAUGGACGAUGACGGUGUCGAUACUGAGGAAACUGUAGCUCCAACAGCAUUUCUGCAUUUUAAGAAGAAAGAGCUUAAACGACGUGAGGCCAAGAAAAAGAAGCAGCAAACAGUCACCAAAAAAAUCAGUGACCUGACUAAGGAGAGAGACUCCCUCUGCCAACAAGUUGGUCAAAAUAACAGUGGGACAACUGACUCAUCCUCCUCGGCCAACACAUCUCCUGGUGCAUCUUCUUUUUCUUCGUCCUUCAGUUCAUCCAGCUCCAGUUCAUCCAGCUCCACUUCAUUCAGCUCCUCUUCAUCCAGCACCUCAUCAACUGCUUUUUCAGAUCAGAAAUUGAAGAAAAAACGCAAGAACAAAAAGAUGCACCGCCACCGGAGUCAAAAAAAAAAGGACAAAAGAAAGAAAAAGAAGACAAAAAGGGAACACAGCAGGGGAAGAGGUAAGCGUAAAGACAGGACAGCAAAAAGGCCACUCCCCUCAUGUGUGUCAGGGUGUCGAGCAUGGAGACAUCACAUCUGUCUCUCUGUGUCUCUGUUUGUCUGUAUCUAUCUUUUUCUAUGUCUGUCUAGCUUUCUUUCUGUUUUUGUGUGAAAAAAUGUUUUAAAUGUAUGUCCUGGUGGGUAUAGUAUUGUGAACUCUCCAAUUGCCUUGUUUGUGUAGUCUUCAUCCCUUUUUGCAACCACAUAGUAUCUGUGUUUGUGUCCCUGUGUUUAUUCACUUAUUGUAUGUUUGUUGUACUUAAAUUUCUAUCUGUUUCAGCACGUCAUCCUCAAGAGGUCAUCAAGAGAUACAAGAAAGUCCUAAAGGCUUACAAGAAAGGGAGAAAGCUGAGUUUGGCAUAUCAGAAGGUCGGUGUUGACCGAAACACCAUUGUCAGCAAUGCUCCGAUCUGUGAAUUGGCUGUGGUGGCCCCAAAGACAUAUAAGGAGUUACUGGGUGCCCACACGCCACAGCAACGACUUCAGGACUUUUCAAAAAAAUGUCUGGAAGUGAUAAAUAGUGAUCCAAACCUUUUGAGGGAUGUUGAACAUCAAAAGAAGAAGGGAAAAC